rnacentral:rRNA from 1 species
UACUCCCCGGCCGGCGACCGGCGCACGGGUGAGUAACACGUAUGAAACCUGCCCGUAGCAGGGGGAUAAGCGGAAGAAAUUCCGUCUAAUACCGCGUAACAACCCGAGGAGGUAUCUCCUCGGGUUUAAAGGAAGCGAUUCCGGCUACGGAUGGUCAUGCGUCGCAUUAGCUAGUUGGCGGGGUAACGGCCCACCAAGGCGACGAUGCGUAGGGGUUCUGAGAGGAAGGUCCCCCACACUGGUACUGAGACACGGACCAGACUCCUACGGAAGGCAGCAG